rnacentral:lncRNA from 1 species
UUUUGGUCUCAUUUUCGUUUUUCCCCUUCUCCUCUCAAAACCCUUUCUUUUUCCCGCAGCCCACCAAACCAGUCUCAGAAAAACGACGAUCUCGAACCCGUUCACCGUUGGAUCGUCGUGAAAUUUGAGUAUCAUGUUCGCAACAGAAUUCCGAGCAUUCUCACCGUUGGGAAUUUUGAUAUCAUGUCUGAACUGAGAGAAACACCCUUCGCAUUGUAGCCUUUUUCUUUCCCGCAGAAACCCAGAGCUGUCUUGGUAAAACUACGAUCCCGGUUUCGUUAACCGUUGGAUUAUUGUGAAAUUUGGAUAUGUUGUUCGAAAUUCAAUUCCGCACGCUUCCACCGUUGGGAUUUGCGAGAUAAUAUUCGUGGAAGGAGAAAAAGGAAUCGCAUGAAGACAGUAUAAGUGGAGGUUUCAAUCUCUUCUCCGUCUCUCUGACGUUUGGGAAUUCUAUCGGAGCAGUCGGAGGAAUAACUGAAAGAAUUUCAGGGAACCGCUAAAGAUGUUGCUAUCCCUGGCUGAAGACACGCGAGUCCGCUCAGAGGUAAGGGAUGAGUUAUUCACAGUUGGGGAUUAGUGAGAACAUGUGUAGGGAUCCUUAGAGGAUUAAAUUGAGGUUUUAUUUUGAGAUGUUUAUUAAAUUGCAAUUUUUCCUUUAUGAUUAUAAAUAAAAUAUUGAUGUCCUAAUGAAAAUUGCUUGAUAAAUUGUGUUCUUGAUAUUUGUAUAUUUCGACCUAUGAUUUUGAUAUAAUUGUGUAAUAUUAGUUAAGGGGUUUUAGUCCUAAUGUUGUGAUAGUGUUUUAUAUAAAUUGUUAUAUUGAGGAUAUGAAAUGAUGAUUCAAAUUGUGAGUAUGUGAUGAAUUGUAGAAGAAUAUGUUGCUUCGAGAUUAUAAUAUUGUUAUUGAGAUUGAGUAUAAGUGUAAAGUUGAACAUGUGUUAAUUUGUGAGAUACAUGUAAACAUGUGAUGGUGGAUUGUCACACUAUGAGAAGUGAAAUUGUGAAUGAGUUCUAGUUGUGGAUAAGUGUGUAGUUAACACUUGAUGUGAAAUUACUUGUGUUGUAAGCUAUGAAUUGUACAAUAACCCGACCAGUGUUAUCUUGAGAAAAGCGUUGAUGCGCAGUGUUAAAGAGAAAAUGUAGGUUUCCUAUUUAGGAGCCAAUGUUAAAUCAUAGUGCGAUUGUGUUGAACGUGUUUAAAACACGAGUGUAAGGUCGUGGGUAUUGUAUAAUUCAUGAGCAGUGUCUGCAUGCAAAAAUUAUUUUAGGGGUUGGACCUGAAUCAGGAGGGAGAGGCCCUGACGGACUCUUCGGAGUGUAGGCCUUGGGGGUCACCGGGUUUGAGUGCUCCUUUAAGCCUAUGCUGAUCUCAUAUGGUUGGAGCAUUCUCGCAAAACAUCGUGACCCUGACUGGUCUCCCUAUGAUCUUACUUAGUGAGAGUGACCUGACAAACCCAUUGUGUGGUGUGUCUUGUUAUGUACUCCUAAGCGCCCCAGUGUGGUUUUUCACUGACAUGGUACCACAUUGCAUAUAGGCUUGAGUCUUAGCAUAACUGUCGCAUACGCUUGCUAAUUGUUUAUUAUGAAAUUGAUGUGUUAUUAUGUCUUGAUCGGAGUGUGUGAUUUCUGUGUAUAGUGAUUGAUGAUUGAAAGGUGUAAUUGAUGGAUGAAAAGUGUGAUUGAUGAAUGACAAAGUGAUGAAAUAAUGUGAGAUAUGCUAAGUAAAUUGUAUUUGGCUACUAUAUGUUGUGUUGUUUCUCUCUAGUAGUUAGCAAUGUGAUAACUCACUCCCGAUUUGUUGUUUGUGUUUGGAUCCUGUGAUGAUCUUGAACUUUGUGUUCGGGGGAGCAGAUGAAUAGGUGGAUGACUAUGAAGAACCUCAUGCUAGAGGACACGAGAACACAACGCUCUGAUAGAAUGUGACAUUAGGAUAUAGGUUCUAUAUUAAUUGUAUGAAGACCUUGUUGAGUCGAGAAUACUUUAUUAUUUAUUUGGACAAGUUUGAAUAUGAUGUAGAAGAAAAUGAAUGUGAGCCUUUUUCCCCUUUGAAAGACUUGUUUAAAAAAAAAUAUUUUAA